rnacentral:rRNA from 1 species
AACGAACGCUGGCGGCAGGCCUAACACAUGCAAGUCGAGCGCGCCCUUCGGGGUGAGCGGCGGACGGGUGCGUAACGCGUGGGAACGUGCCCUUUUCUACGGAAUAGCCCCGGGAAACUGAGAGUAAUACCGUAUACGCCCUUCGGGGCAAAGAUUUAUCGGAAAAGGAUCGGCCCGCGUUGGAUUAGGUAGUUGGUGGGGUAAUGGCCUACCAAGCCGACGAUCCAUAGCUGGUCUGAGAGGAUGAUCAGCCACACUGGGACUGAGACACGGCCCAGACUCCUACGGGAGGCAGCAGUGGGGAAUCUUAGACAAUGGGCGCAACCCUGAUCUAGCCAUGCCGCGUGAGUGAUGAAGGCCUUAGGGUUGUAAAGCUCUUUCAGCUGGGAAGAUAAUGACGGUACCAGGAGAAGAAGCCCCGGCUAACUCCGUG